rnacentral:misc_RNA from 1 species
UUGAGAGGGAUUCGUCCCCGGGGGUUGUACCCUUCAUCUCAAACCCUUUGUUUACCUUACCACAACGUUGCUUUGGCGGGCCUUGGGGUCGUGCCCAUGCCGCCGGGGGCGCCAGUCCCCGGCGGCGAGUGCCCGCCGAAAGCCCCCAUUUUAAAACCUCGAACAAACCUGUCGUCUGAGUGAAAAACAAAAAUCAAGCA